rnacentral:lncRNA from 10 species
UCUCCCAUCAAUAAGGCCUAUCCCUUGCUCAGGGCACCAGUCCAGCAGCCAGAAGACCCAACCCCACCCACUGGAUCUGUCAGGUCAGACUUCCACUGCACACCUACAAUGCCAGGAGACGGCCCAUUCCCUGGUUUCCGGCUAGGCCCACUGUUUGGGACAGCAAACCCAGGGGCAGAACAGCCCAGGGGCCCCCUUAGGAUCUGGACAUGAGCAACUGGCACUGGGUGUGGUGUGGCGUCGCCUGCAGCCCACCAACCUAGCACAUGGAACCUGUCUCACUUUCUGGCCAAGUGACCCAAGGUACGGCCCUGACCCACAUCACAGGGUGGUCCUGAGAAUGAAAUGGCACAACAAAUGGGAACGAUGCUGCAGACCCGGGAGGACUCUGACCCUGCGGGCUUCAGGAAGCAUCUCACCAAACCACCACACAAACGACAGUUUCGCUUAUUGCCCAGGCUGGAGUGUAAUGGCACAAUCUCGGUUCA